rnacentral:misc_RNA from 1 species
UCCGGCUUAUCACCGGCAGUCCCUCUAGAGUGCCCAACUGAAUGAUGGCAACUAAAGGCGAGGGUUGCGCUCGUUACGGGACUUAACCCAACAUCUCACGACACGAGCUGACGACAGCCAUGCAGCACCUGUCUCAGAGUUCCCGAAGGCACCAAUCCAUCUCUGGAAAGUUCUCUGGAUGUCAAGACCUGGUAAGGUUCUUCGCGUUGCGUCGAAUUAAACCACAUGCUCCACCGCUUGUGCGGGCCCCCGUCAAUUCAUUUGAGUUUUAAUCUUGCGACCGUACUCCCCAGGCGGUCAACUUAGCGCGUUAGCUACGUCACUAAAGGGUCUAAGCCCCCCAACGACUAGUUGACAUCGUUUACAGCGUGGACUAC